AGUGAACGCUGGCGGUAGGCCUAACACAUGCAAGUCGAACGGCAGCGCCGUACGUGCUUGCUCUUCCGGGUGGCGAGUGGCGGACGGGUGAGGAAUACAUCGGACUCUACUCUUUCGGGGGGGAUCACGUAGGGAAGCUUACGCUCAUACCGCAUACGCCCUUCGGGUGAAGGCGGGGGAUCUUCGGCCCUUGCGGGGUUGAAUGCGCGGGUUAGUAGUUUGUUGGUUGGGGGGUGGCCGACCAAGGCGAGGACGGGUAGCUGGCCGGAGAGGGUGACAGGCCACACGAGAGGGGAGACGCGGUCCAGGCGCCUGCGGGAGGCAGCAGUGGGGAACAUUGGACAAUGGGGGCAAGCCUGGUCCAGCCAGACCGCGUGGGUGAAGAAGGCCUUCGGGUUGUAAAGCCCGUUUGCUGGGAAAGAAAAGCAGCAGGUUAAUACCCCGCUGUUCUGACGGUACCCAAAGAAUAAGCACCGGCUAACUUCGUG
rnacentral:rRNA from 1 species